UACGGAGGAUGCAAGCGUUAUCCGGAUUCAUUGGGUUUAAAGGGUCCGUAGGCGGACUUUUAAGUCAGAGGUGAAAGCCUACAGCUCAACUGUAGAAUUGCCUUUGAUACUGGAAGUCUUGAGUACAAUUGAAGUGGGCGGAAUACGUCAUGUAGCGGUGAAAUGCAUAGAUAUGACGUAGAACACCGAUUGCGAAGGCAGCUCACUAAGUUGUAACUGACGCUGAGGGACGAAAGCGUGGGGAGCAAACAGG
rnacentral:rRNA from 1 species